rnacentral:snoRNA from 1 species
GUGAGACUCUGUCUCAAACAAACAAAACAACAACAAUUAUAUAUAUAUCAUGUCUGCGCCUGCAUAUUCCUACAGCUUCCCAGAGUCCUGUGGAUGAUGACUGGGGAGACAAACUGUGCAGGAAACAUGU